CGGAGACCCUGGGUUUUGGGAGGCGAGGCCGGGGGCGGGGGCAGGGGAAGUUUGGAGCCGAGGGAGCGGCAGGAGCACGUGGGCUGAGGGGGUGGGAGGACGCAGACGGAGGAGUAACCGGUGGAAGUGUCAACGAGGAAGGGGUGGAGGGCUGGCGAGGUGACAGGGUGUGGUCUGUGGCGGAGCAGCCGCCCGGGAGCCCGGGGCGGGGGCAGGGGCAGGGCAGGGGCAGCGCCGGGACCGCGGCGGCCAGGAGCGCGGCGCGGGGCCGGGGCACUUUCCGCGCUCGCCCAAGUGGAGCUCGGCUCGGAGCCGCGCCAGCGCCUUCCGCCGGGGCCGCGGGGCCCGCCACCUGCCGAGUCCGGAGCGGGAGUCUUCGCCCCCAAGGGACUUUCCACUGUGCCUCCUGAGAACAAUGGAGAAUUUCUUCUCAGCCCCCUGUUAUUCCACAACUUUGAUGCAAAUAAGUAGUCUUGGCUGAUCCCCUAUUUCCAAGGAUAUGGAGAAGGUCAUGAUGCCUAGAAUCAAAGAAGCAAGAUCCUAGUCUCUUCACUUAUGCUGCAGCUCAUCUGGGAAGAGUUGUGGGCAAAGGUUUCCAGCAGAGUUUGAUUGAUCUUGGCAAUUCAUUUGCUCAAAUAGACACAGGGCAGGUAUGGGAGGGUGCCACGUCAUAGUGCCUCCCUAGUAGAAGGGAAUGGGCAUCAGCACUGUAUGUAAUUGGUCCUUAAUUCCUAUCUCCUGGCUACCUACUGGUUGAUUUUUAAAACUUUCCACUCUUCGCAAUACAAGCAUCCCUCAAAAAAUUGGAAAAAACUCAAAUACACAAACUAACCUUGCACCUAAAGGAACUGGAGAAAGAACAGCAAAUAAAACCUACACCCAGCAGACA
rnacentral:lncRNA from 12 species